UUUUAAAUAAAGAAGGAAGUCAUAAACCUCCACUUGAAAGGUGUGGGGGAUGGCAACAGAAACACAGCCGGCCAGAAACCAGAAAGGUCUCACUCAACUCAUCCCCAAGGUCUCUGCGCAGAAGGAACAAGGGAAAACCCACCUCCCAAGACACCCCACUCAGCACCCCACUCCCCGGAGGCAAGAUGCAGCUGUGCAUAGCGGCAGCAGUGAGGACCCCGGCCUGGCAGGCCCCCACACCCCACUCAGCACCCCACUCCCCGGACGCAAGAUGCAGCUGUGCAUAGCGGCAGCAGUGAGGAUCCCGGCCUGGCAGGGCCCCCACAUCCCACUCAGCACCCCUCCCCAGAAGCAAGAUGCAGCUGUGCAUAGCGGCAGCAGUGAGGACCCCGGCCUGGCAGGGCCCCCACAUCCCACUCAGCACCCCACUCCCCAGAAGCAAGAUGCAGCUGUGCAUAGCGGCAGCAGUGAGGAUCCCGGCCUGGCAGGCCCCCACAUCUCUGGCUGAGGGCUCCAGGGGCCAGGGCUGCUCAACAGGACCAAGAGGAAAUGACCACAGGAGCCCCCAGCUGCUGGGGGUGGCCCCCGCGGUUUCCUGGGCCAUCUCUGGUGGACCCACUCCAAAUCUGGAAGAGGCCCAACCCCUCUUCCUCCCCGUAUCCCAAACCCCAACCACGCCAGCCAGGAGCCUUGGUAGACGAGAAAAAAUUCAAUUAAGCCCCAUUGUGCUGGGUGACAUAGGCCCCAGAAGGAGAGGCGCCCCUGGAUUGCUCAAGUUUAAUGAUAACUUCAGCAGUUGGGUCUUCAAGUUAAUUAGCUCUUUCUUCCCCAGCAGUCCUCAGGGAGCCCCACGGUGAGCUGUGAGGAGCCAGCCCAGCGUGGCACACACAACGUAGGGGCCUUCUCUCACUCCCACUCCACAAACACCAGGGCCCCUCAGGGGACCAGACUCCCAUCCCUGAGUCAUUUCUCCCCCACCGCUCUCUCAACAAGGAACGGAGAAGGAGCUUCUACUGCUUAACCAGAUGUAGAAACUGAGGCAUGCACAGAGAGGUCAUGUGUGAUAUGGUUUGGAUGUUGUCCCCUCCAAAUCUCAUACUGAAAUGUGAUUCCUGAUGUUGGAGACAAAAGACCAUGGCUCUCGGCGAGGAGGAAUGGCAGGUCUGAGGCCACGCGGUUCGUAAUAGGCAAAUGGACCCGGCAGUCUCUCUACCCACGAACAGGGCUCCUCCCUGUCUGCACACCUUGCUGAGGUUUUAGAGCCUGGAGCCAGUGAGUCUCCAUGGAGCACAAGGACAGCGGUGGUGCCGGGGCUGGAACAAGGCAGGGGCCUCCCGAAUCACAGUCCCGGCUGUGGACUACACCUCAGGACCCCGCCCUGGCUGGGAACCUUGCUCCAGCCCACCCGGGACCUCUUCCCACCCUGAGUCCUGCACUGGGCUGUGCACGGGGGUCUGCUGAAUGAGUGAGGGCAGGAGGGAUGGUGAGCAGGGUACAAAGCGGCUAUGGUGGGUAGGCUUCUGCUGGAAGCUUGAAACAUUGCUGGCGAGCAGGACGAUACCAGGGGAAGAGGUUACAGCCCUCAGAAGGGCUCGCUGGGGACUGUCCUGCAGCCCUGUCAUUGGGACAGGCAGAAAAUCCAGCCCCCCUUCAGGGUGAGUCCAGGAAGCCUGUGGGGGCACCGGCUCUAGCUAGGGUGGCGCGUGGGUUUACCCAGGGCACGCUGCCGUGGCCCAGAGUUAGCUUAAACCUCAUGUAUUCUGUAAAUAAUUAUUUAUAAUACACAAGACUUAUUCAUCCUCUAAGAAGAGUAAAACAUUACAGGAGGCACUUUCUCACCAACUAAA